GUUCAUGAGUUUCCGCUAGAUGCCAAUGAACGUUCUUAAAGAGCUUUUCAUUUUCAUUUUUUGGGGAAGGUGGUAACCCGAGGCCAUCACCCACUCCCCAGCUCACCUGAGGGUCUAGGAGCGCGAAAAUUGACUGUUGUCUACAGUGUGGAUCGUGUUCAGUUGCGAACGGUUAUCCGUUAUCGUGGAUAGAAACUCGAGUCUCGCGUGAUGAGUUAGUUGUUGUUAAGCGAUUGAUUGAAUGAACAAGAUUUUUUACUCAGAUUCCAGUGAUGAUGAUUACAUUCCUACAGUUUACAUUUUCCAGGUGACUGAGAGUGAUGUUGAAGAAUUAUCCAAUGAAGCUGAACAAAUUUCAAGCAAUGAAAGUGAUGACUGUAGAAUAAAGCUCUUCCAAAAAGAGAAAACGUCCCUUAUAAAAGAAUAAAUUAAACAAAACAACAGUUUCUGAAGAACCAGACGAAGGAGAUAAAUUAAAAAAUACCAAUAAUGAUGAAGAUAAAAAACAAAGGAUUGACCGUAUGUGGGCUAGUUUCAAGGAGGGAACUGACACAAAAGAAGCAAAAGAGACUGUUGCACCUAUUGUAACCAAACCUACAAAAUCUAUAGCCUAUAAAUUUGCUGGAGAAGAAAUUGAAAUCCCAGAAGAAGUUAAGAAAACUGGACCUUUAAAUUCCCAAGAAAUGAAAGGAAAAAACCUUCCAACUUAAAAAAAAAUCCGGUGGCCUUUCUAGCAUUACCAGUCAAUUAUCAAGUAAAAAAGCAAAGCUCAGUACAUUGGAAAAAUCAAAGCUGGAUUGGGAUCGAUUUAAAACAGAAGAAGGGAUUGCGGAAGAUCUGAAAUCUUUUCAUCAUAGGCAACAAAUUUUUGAUUUUGGGAAGGCAAUAAGCUUUUCUAGAACGGGCUGACGUAAAACAAUUUGAGAUUGAAACAAAUUUUCGUGCUGGGCGGAAACUUCGUUAACCGUAACAUGCAAAUCGUCUCACUGAAAAUGAAAUACAACAAAUAAAAAAGAA